rnacentral:snoRNA from 1 species
AUCCCAUGAUGAGGACACUCGAGUAUGUAGUCUUGAAAGCGCUCCCAGGCUUCUGGGACUGUGUCAUCAUGUUGUUGCUGAAAACUUGAUAUCUUCCUAGGAAGAGC